CGUUAAAAUUUCAUCUAUUUAUAUUGUUCAAAACUGAUAUUGUUGAUGAUUUCAUAAUAUAGUGAUACAUAGCGUGUCAUGACUAUCUCAUAUUAAUGUAUAUGGACUUAUUUUUAAUCGUAAAAAUAGAUGAAAUUUUUAAUA
rfam:Gossypium hirsutum cultivar TM-1 chromosome 4, whole genome shotgun sequence